AGCCUUCAGUACAUGACAAGUACUCUCAUUUUUAUAAAAUAUUUCAAUAAUUCCAUUCCGAAGCGUAAAGAAGACGAAUGAAGAAAUAAACUUGCUGUUUCUUCGGUGGCUGUGCACGUUUGAACUUUAAUAUGGCACAGCUUGAUUUCGCUGAAAAGCGUCGAAGGAUACUUGCAAUCACGAUGAAGAUCGAUAUGAAGAAAAUUUGGAGUUUCUUCGGCGGCGGUGCACCACUGCGUAUAGACUGAAGAUUGACACAACUCGGUUUCUCGGGAACAGUCUACGAUUACAGUAUUUCAAAAAUUUCAUUCUGAAGCGCAAAGAAAACGAAUGAAGAAAUAAGAGCUAGCUGUUUCUUCGGCGGUGAUGAUGCACUACGUUUGAACUGUAAAUGUGGUACAGCUCGAUUUCGCCGAACAGCGUCAAAGAAUACUUACAAUCAUGAUGAAGAUCGUAUGAAGAAAAUUUGGAGUUUCUUCGGCGGCGGUGCACCACUCCGUAUCCACGAUUAGCAGUAUCAUUAGGAAGCUGAUGAAUAACAAAAAAAAGUGUCGCAGGGC